GAUCAUUACCUGAACAGGGGGGCCGUUCGGUCGUCAGAUCGCGACAGCUCCCUUGCUUUCACCCUUGUCUGUAAGCACCCUUUUGUAGUUUCCUCGGCGGGCUCGCCCGCCGGCAGGAACCCCCUUUAACACUUCUGUAUCAGCAUCGAACUUCUGAUCUAAAUAAAAUUAAUCACAACUUUCAACAAUGGAUCUCUUGGUUCUGGCAUCGAUGAAGAACGCAGCGAAAUGCGAUAAGUAGUGUGAAUUGCAGAAUUCAGUGAAUCAUCGAAUCUUUGAACGCACAUUGCGCCCCUUGGUAUUCCAUGGGGCAUGCCUGUUCGAGCGUCAUUUACACCCUCAAGCUCUGCUUGGUGUUGGGCGUCUGUCCCGCCGUUUGCCGGCACGAGGACUCGCCUCAAAGGUAUUGGCAGCGGCCUUUGUCAGCUUCUCGCGCAGCGAAGAUUGCGUAGGUUGGAGCCUGGCGUCGGGUUCGCGUCCACAAAAGUCCACCACGACUUGACCUCGGAUCAGGUAGGGAUACCCGCUGAACUUAAGCAUAUCAAUAAGCGGAGGAAAAGAAACCAACAGGGAUUGCCCUAGUAACGGCGAGUGAAGCGGCAACAGCUCAAAUUUGAAAUCUGACUCCUUUGGGUGUCCGAGUUGUAAUUUGCAGAGGGUGCUUUGGUGUCGUCGGCGGUCUAAGUUCCUUGGAACAGGACAUCACAGAGGGUGAGAAUCCCGUUUGUGGUCGCCAGCCUUCGCCGUGUAAAGCCCCUUCGACGAGUCGAGUUGUUUGGGAAUGCAGCUCUAAAUGGGAGGUAAAUUUCUUCUAAAGCUAAAUACCGGCCAGAGACCGAUAGCGCACAAGUAGAGUGAUCGAAAGAUGAAAAGCACUUUGGAAAGAGAGUCAAAAAGCACGUGAAAUUGUUGAAAGGGAAGCGCUUGCAGCCAGACUUGCCCGUAGUUGCUCACCCGGACUUUUGCCCGGGGUACUCUUCUGCGGGCAGGCCAGCGUCAGUUUGGGCGGUUGGAUAAAGGCCUCUGUCAUGUAUCUCCCUUC
rnacentral:rRNA from 1 species